ensembl:lncRNA
GAGCUUUUGACUUCUUAGUAGGAAGACUGAGAAACUGAAGACUGACCAGUGGUUGGACUCUUGGCGGCGCUUACCCUGAACCUGAGUUUUAGGGGAGAGGGAAUCUGCCGGUGCGGUUUCUGGAGCUGCUCAUAAGCAAGAAUUCCCUAUCCUGAUCAAGGCUUUAAGCCUAAAAGAAAGCAGAAAUAGGUCAAGGGCAGCCCAGGUGCCCAAUUUCUCUCUCUCUUCACA